UAGUGCUUUUCUAAGUCUGUGUUGUGUGGGUUCCACAAGUUCUUACUUCGGUUAACUUAGCAUAAAUUGGUUUCUACAGUUGUAGCCAGAGCCCUAAUUGAUACUCAUUAUAAUGACUUGAGUGACAAAUGUGUCAACAAUAGCUAAUGGCCACAGUGGACACAGCAAGUAAAAUCUGACAGUCCUUGUUUUCAAAAGCUGCAAUCAACCCUAGUCAUUCAGCGAGGGGCAGCCUCAGAAAUGGAUUAUGCAGCCUGUUCCCUCUGCUCCUUUCCCAGAGGACCGAGUCUGCUUGAGCUGGAACCGUUGCUGACCAUGAAAAAUGUCCUCGCUUUCCUAACGCCCUGGGUCAGAUGGCCGUUCCUGGCCCCUCUCGGUUUGGAACAGGGAGAGGUUUGCAAAGCCAGCUGUUUCACUCAGCUUGGCUUAGGUCAGAAGCACGUUAAUGGGAACCCUGCAGCCGCUGAAGUAUGAGAUUUCCUGAUUAAGGAAAUGAGAGGAAAUAAGUCAUUAACUACUCUUCUACCCCCUGCCCCAACUUGGGAAAAUUUUUUUCUCGUUUUGUGAAAAUGAAAAACAGAAGAUGCUGCUGUUUGUUACAGUUCCCAGAAAUAAGAUGACAGAUCCAAGGAUGAACAUUUAACAGCUGUUUUGGAACUGAUUCUGGGAAGACACAAAAAGCUGCUUUUGGUUUUGCCACAGUUAAAAAGCACAGACUCUCUGAUUUGCACACGGUCAAUAGCAUGCAAGUGGACUCAGAGGAAUCACGCCAAGAAAAGACAAUGACAAAAAGGGAGGUUUAAUCAUCAUGACGGUUGCAAUUAGAAUUAAAUGUAAACUUAAGAGGAUCGCUUCACUCUAGUAAGAGGGCCAAGGGAAAUCUACAGUGAGUGGACCAAAUCCUCUUGCCAGAUUGCUCUCCCCACUCAAAAGAAUUUCAAUCUUUAAUAUAUUAUUAUUUGUAAAACACAGAAAAAUAAAAUAUUAUUUUGAUACCUAGUAGAAUUUCUCCUAGGAGGUCCUAACCCCCCUUUUCUGUCUCUUUCUUCUUUUCCUUUCUCUUUUUUCUGUCUUUUGUGCCUUAAAUUUUCAUAAAUCAGCCUGUUUUGAAUAGAAGCCGAGAUGGCAAGGGGUCUAAGUAGGAGCAGACCUGCCUGACAUGAGAUGAGCAAACAAAUUCAUGUUUUGAACCAUGCAGGGAGAGGAAAGAGAAAAGUAAAAUAAAGAAAAAAAAUGCAGUGAGCAAAAUAGUCAAAGAAUGUGUGUAGUGUGUGCUAUGGCUUCUGUCUAGAUGUCCCUCCAAAGCCUCGUGUGCUCACAGGUGAGGCUUUUGGUAGAUGAUUGAAUCAUGGGGUGUGAUACUCUUCAGUGAAUUUGUCCACUGAUGAGUUUAUAGCUAAGUGUGAUGUUGGGGGGUGAAGCCUGGUGGGAGGAGGUGGGUCACUGGGGGUGUGGCCUGCAAGGGUACAUCUUCCUUCUCUUCCUUGACUCCUCUCUGCUUCUUAGCACCAUGCCAUGAACUGUUUCUCCUUUGCCAUGCCACCCUGCCUUAGAGCCUGCCAAAACUAUGAACUGAAACCUCUACAAACUGUGAGCCAAAAUAAACCUUUCCUCCUUAGAGACCUAGGUGUCGAGUAUUGUGGCACAGCAGUGAGAAAGUAAAACUGUAAAACUCCAAACUUUAACAAAGUUCUAAGUCCACAGAAUGCUUAGAGUGGGAGGAAGAUUGGGGAUCUUGUGCAACAACUGAGAAAGGGUCUGACCUCUGGCAAGAGAAGGAAUCAAUAACACAUGGUGAAUGACAAAUUAGGACAAUGAAGAAGACUGGGGAAUUUUCAGGAACUGUAGGGAGGGCUGUGGAUCCUCACUGUCUGUGACACAUGGGGUUUGAGCCAAAUUUAAGUCUCUGAAGGCCAGAGAGGCUUCAGCUGAAAUAAAUGUGCAGAGAUUUGGAGGUUUCAUUUAAGCUACGUGGCUAUGAGAGGCUUGCAGUGGUUUUUCAUUGAGUCGUACCUGGAAUGAUCAAGUUUCUAUGAGGCCCAUGAAUCCUUAAUGCAUGACUUCUCAAUUCUGACUGUGUUAAGAUUGCAUCUAGUAAGUUAGAUAACACCUAUCAUCUGUCCAACCACCAUCAAUCUACCUGCUAACUCAGGCAAGGAUAAUGAGUACUUUGUACUCUGAAGGCACUGUACUAGGCACUUAGGGGCAAAGAAAUAGGUACAAUACAUAGAUUGUGAUCUGAAGGAACUUAGUCUGAUGGUGAUAACUGUAAUGGGUUGAAUUGUUCCCCUACUCUGCAAAAACAAACAAACAAACAAACCAACAACUAAUAAAGAUAUGUUCAAAACCUGG